GCCGGGCAUGGUGGUGUGCGCCUGUAAUCCCAGCUACUAGGGAGGCUGAGGCAGGAGAAUUGCUUGAACCUGGGAUGCAGAGGUUGCAGUGAGCCGAGAUUAUGCCACUGCACUCCAGCCUGGGUGACAGAGCAAGACUCUGUCUCAA
rnacentral:SRP_RNA from 1 species